GCGAGCGUAGCUCAGUUGGUUAGAGCACACGGCUGAUAAUCGUGGGGUCGAUGGUUCAAAUCCAUUCGUUCGCACCA
rnacentral:tRNA from 2 species